rnacentral:lncRNA from 1 species
ACCUCCGACCCGGCUCCCUGCUGCGGCGUGGUGGGGGGGCGAGGCGCGGGCCCGCGGCAGCCAAUGGCAGAACGGCGCGGGGCGGGGCGACGUGAGGCGAUGCAGAUGGUCCGAGCGUAGCUCUGCCAUUCCCGGCUGAGCGGUCUGAGGGCGGGCGGGCCCCUGGAGGCCGCGGCGUCCCCUAAGUCUGGACACGUGUGGGGCCAGCCCGCUGGCUCCCCCUCCCGGCGGAGAAAGAAGUGGAGGAAAUGGCCCCACAGGCUCCAGAGCCAAAAAAAGUGUUCAAAUUCAUGUGUUUAAACUAACAUGGACACCAUCUUAGUCUUCAGCCUAAUCAUUGCAUCCUAUGAUUCCAAGGAGAAAGGUA